rnacentral:rRNA from 1 species
GACGAACGCUGGCGGCGUGCUUAACACAUGCAAGUCGAACGGUAAGGCCCCACCUUGCUGGGGUACACGAGUGGCGAACGGGUGAGUAACACGUGGUUGCCCUGCCCCGCACUUCGGGCUACGCCUGGGAAACUGGGUCUAAUACCGGAUAGGACCUCACCGUGUGGGUGUGGUGGGAAGUUUUUCGGUUUGGGCUUGGCCCGCGGCCUAUCAGCUUGUUGGUGGGGUAAUGGCCUACCACGGCGGCGACGGGUAGCCGGCCUGAGAGGGGGGACGGCCACAAGAGGCCUGAGGGACGGCCCAGACGGGAACGGUAGGCAGCAGUGGGGAGGAUUGCACAGUAAGCGGGAGUAUGAGACAGAGACGCCGGGUUGGGGAAGACGGCUUGUGGGUUGUGAACACCUUCCACCAUAGACGAAGGUUUGAUGACGGUACAGGGAGAAGAAGCACCGGCUAACUACGUG